UGGUUCUUCUUCAGCACUGUGGCCUCGGC
rnacentral:piRNA from 1 species